rnacentral:tRNA from 1 species
UCCCCAUUGGCUCAGUGGUAAAGAAUCUGCCUGUGAUGCGGAAGAUGCAGGAGACCUAGGUUCAAUCCCUGGGUUGGGAA